AACGAACGCUGGCGGCGUGCCUAAUACAUGCAAGUCGAGCGCGAAAGGGGCUUCGGCCCUGAGUAAAGCGGCGCACGGGUGAGUAACACGUGGAUAAUCUACCCUUAGAUUUGGGAUAACGUCUGGAAACGGGCGCUAAUACCGGAUACGCUCCAAAUAAGUCUUUUUUGGGGGAAAGGCGGCCUCUAUUUAUAAGCUGUCGUCUAAGGAUGAGUCCGCGCCUCAUUAGGUAGUUGGCGGGGUAAUGGCCCACCAAGCCUGUGAUGAGUAGCCGGCCUGAGAGGGUGAUCGGCCACACUGGAACUGGAACACGGUCCAGACUCCUACGGGAGGCAGCAGUAGGGAAUAUUGCGCAAUGAACGAAAGUUUGACGCAGCGACGCCGCGUGAGGGAUGAAGGUCUUCGGAUCGUAAACCUCUGUCAAGAGGGAGGAAGUGCAUAUGCUCUAAUAUAGCGUAUGUUUGACGGUACCUCUGAAGGAAGCACCGGCUAACUCCGUGCCAGCAGCCGCGGUAAUACGGAGGGUGCGAGCGUUAAUCGGAAUUACUGGGCGUAAAGCGCGCGUAGGCGGAAUUUUAAGUCAGGAGUGAAAUCCCCGGGCUCAACCUGGGAAUAGCUUUUGAUACUGAGAUUCUAGAGUUCAGGAGAGGGUGGCGGAAUUCCAGGUGUAGGAGUGAAAUCCGUAGAGAUCUGGAGGAACAUCAGUGGCGAAGGCGGCCACCUGGACUGACACUGACGCUGAGGUGCGAAAGCGUGGGUAGCAAACAGGAUUAGAUACCCUGGUAGUCCACGCCGUAAACGAUGGGUGCUAGGUGUUGGGGAUUUAAUCUUCGGCGCCGCAGCUAACGCGAUAAGCACCCCGCCUGGGGAGUACGGUCGCAAGGCUGAAACUCAAAUGAAUUGACGG
rnacentral:rRNA from 1 species